AUUGAACGCUGGCGGCAGGCCUAACACAUGCAAGUCGAGCGGAGCGGGGGACGGGUGCGUAAUGCCUAGGUAUCUGCCUGGUAGUGGGGGCUAACGUCCGGAAACGGGCGCUAAUACCGCAUACUAUCAGAUGAGCCUAGGUCGGAUUCGGUAGUGGGUGGGGUAAAGGCCUACCAAGGCGACGAUCCGUAACUGGUCUGAGAGGAUGAUCAGUCACACUGGAACUGAGACACGGUCCAGACUCCUACGGGAGGCAGCAGUGGGGAAUAUUGGACAAUGGGCGAAAGCCUGAUCCAGCCAUGCCGCGUGUGUGAAGAAGGUCUUCGGAUUGUAAAGCACUUUAAGUAGGGAGGCGUUACCAACAGAAUAAGCACCGGCUAACUUCGUGCCAGCAGCCGCGGUAAUUC
rnacentral:rRNA from 1 species